rnacentral:tRNA from 6 species
GGGCCUCUAGCUCAACUGGCAGAGCAGCGGACUUUUAAUCCGCGGGUUGUGGGUUCGAGUCCCACGGGGCCUACGA